AUGAGCAGAGCACUUAGGCAAAAUUACACAUUAUUCAACCUGUCCUACAUUUCAGGCUUAUUUGAACUUGGCUUCACUUAUUUGAACCAUGUCGAAGAACAGAAAAUUCAGGAAUCAGAGAAAAGCGGGGAUUUCAUCUUCGGAUUACGGGAGAGGCCCAGCCCUAAAACAAAUCUUGUACUAAUGUCAAGGCUAAGGGAGCUGGCACAGUUUUCAACAGUCAUGUUUCCUUGGCAGUUUCAGAUGGUGUUGUUUACUGAUUGUUACUUGUAUUUGCAUCACUUCCUGUCCUAAACAGAUUUAUUUAUGCUGUAGAAUGUCCAGAAGAAGUUGUUGCCUUCUAUCCUAAUGAUGGAUGAAUUUAAUUUCAAUGAUGCUUGUAUCUUGCUUCUCCCUUUAGUUGCCCUAUCCUAGGAAACCAUUAUGUGAGGUCAUUUCUAAAUCAAAUUUCCGUGAAUAAAUGUAAUGCAACCCUGGUUGCUGUCUGUGUAGUGAUAAUUACAUGCUCAUUGUCUUUUCAGUAGAGUGUCUAUUUGUUCCAGUGCCUUGAAUGGAUGUCUACUAAAUGAACAGAGUUCCUAUGGUUAUCAAAAUGCAAUUUACCUUUGCAGAAACAAGAAAAAUUAAUGUUUGUAAUAUUUACUUUCAUACACAUGUAACUGUUCUCUUUUCAUUCCAGCCAUUGUAUCUGUUUGAUCAGUCAGUACCAAAAGAAAACACAUGUGUUCAGAGUUACCAACUUUAUAAUAGAACUUGCCUUGAAAAUGGCUACAGUGUUGGAUAAUGCUUCAAUAUAGGACAUGGUUUUAAAGAGCAUCUGUUUUUUUCUCUUUGGAGCAGGUCACCUACAACAUUUUGAAAUUGAUAGAAUUCUUAGAGGCACAGUAUUACAUACUCAGGACUUGUUGCUCUUCAGUUUGCCAUUUUCCAGCACAUUGUUGUAAUAGUAUCUCCAUCUGUGACUAUUCCUUGUAUUUGCUCCCAGCCUGUAUUGCCUAGAAUCUUCUGUGUUGAGGAGAUAUGUGAAGAAAUCAAUCACUAUUUUUCUGUGCCAUUUUCUUAUUCUUAAUUGGUUGCUUUGCUUCAUGAUGAUGCACCUACUGAUCAUUUUCAAGGCUUUCUGCUUCAUAUAUAUAUAUACAUGUAUCAUAUGUCUUGUUAAUUUAGUAAUAUGCCUUAAUCCUUUAAAAGUCUCUAACAACUUGCAUCUUAUGGAUAAGUAUAUGGUAUAAAGUCCCAUGUUAAAUUUUCAAUUUUCUGGAGGAGAGUUAAUUCAUUUUUUUAAACUUCACCAUACUGCCUUUUUUUCUUGCCUUUUUUCUUGCCUUAUUACUUCUAUCCAGUAGUAAACAGACCUUAGUGAUCCUUAGUUUAUGCCUCAGUGCUAUUAAGUGGUAGCAGGUUUCCUCUUAAACAGGUUCCUUAGUUUUUCAAAAUCUUAUUUUGUGUUUCCAUAACAGACGGAGACCAUUUUAUCCCCAAGGAUGUUGAAAUUAAUGUUGUCACUGUUUCUCAUCUGUCACAUAUUUUAUAAUUACUACUUGAACCAGCUACUCUGUAUUACUUAGGGCUUAACAGAGAAUAAUCCCUCAUUUUGUGUACUCUGGAAUUAGCUGUUCCAAGAGCAUUUGUUUGAGAAAUCACUUCUUUAAACCUUGUUCCAUUUAGCGGAAUGAGAUACAUUGUAAAUAUGUUUACACUGUGCUAAGAAGUACAUCUUUGUAUAAAUAAGUGUUGUGAGAUGUUGAAAUGCCGAUUAUUAAUUUUGUUUGGAGAAGUGAUUCACUUGUGUCACUGUAUACAUACAGCUGUAUAUACAUUUUGUGUACAUGUUUGUAUGUCAUUUUGUUGUUACUUAAAAAAUGGAAUGUGCUGUCAUUUGUCUGACAUCGUAGGAAAGAGAUGACACCAGUCAGAGGAAGCUACACACUUCGUUUCGCUUACAAAAUACCUUGAUGGAAACACAUAAAACGCCUUCUUUGCCCCAGAAGUCAUUCGGUUCCCUCUCUGCCCGCUGGAACCUGUGCCCCCGGCGGCGGGCCCGGCUCAGCACCGCGGACAGCACCGGGGGGACCGGGGCGAGAUGGGCAGGCUGCUGGGUGCCCCGGGGGCUGGCUGUGCUGGAGGUGAGCUAGGCAGAGCACAGCGAGAGGAAGGACUCGGGAGGCUAUGCUGCUGCUUGUUCCUGGCGAAACCAGACGGUGGGUGUGUACAAUUGCACUCGCACCCCUUACAUGCAGGCAUGAGGUUAGCAAACUGUGACCAAGAAUAGUUUAUCUCUGGGAAUUUUCUCAGACAUUUCCUUAUCUAAGAGGUGGUAGCCAGCUCUGCAAUAACCAGAUGAAAAUAUUGGCUGUUUAUGUGGUGUUUGACAUCAGCUGCUCCCAUCUUCCUUCCAUGCAAAUUUUUCCAACUUUGUUUUUAGGUAACAGUUAGUAGCCAUUGCCACUACAUAUUAAAGUUUCUUCCUGAUUGCUGUUUUCUCUUUUUGAUUUCAGUCAGUAACAGUGUUUUGGAAUGUGUGGCUGAAAGCAGCCUUUUCACUUUCACUAAAUAACCAGAUAUUCUCUUGCUCCAAUUUGAGUCAUGAAUAAGACACAAAGAUUAAAAUGUUAGCUCCACUGAAGUUAAUACCACACAAUUAGUAUUGAUCUCAAGAGGUCUACAGUUUCACUUUAAUAAGCCACCAAAAGUUUAUAUUUAUAUAAAAUAGCAGAAAGUAUAGAGACAAUACGUACAUAUUUUUGUCCAUUCACAUUUAAAUAUGCAAUCAGCCAGCAGGAAGGAGAAAAUUAAUAUAUUCUCAAUUCACAGCAUGAAAAUACUCCCACUUGCAAAUGCAGAAGUCAAAUAUACAUCAGAUGCCUUUGUCUGCUUAUAAUGAAACCAAUUAACAUUUAAAAGCUUGUAACAAGUUGUUUCAGUCACCAUGUGUGCUCUGUACUUUUCAAGCUUACUUUCUCAUCAGCUUCACCUUAUGAAUGAAGUGGUCUUGUGGUUGCAAUUUCUUACUUUUUUAACCUCCAUUUACUUGUAACCUUAUAGAACUGCACAAAAUCUUACUAGAAAUUUGACUGAGUGUGUAUUGACAUUCAAAACAUUCUGUGGAAUUUAAGGGGAAACAAUGCAACAAUUUAUUAUUAUUAUUAUUUAAAGCCUGUGUUCAUUUGUUUUCCAUGUUAUUUUCAGAGACAAACCCUGGUUGUUAUGGACUUUUUCUGUAACCACCUCUCCCAUCAAGACAGCUGGGACAGCAGCACAGAACAGCUGCACAGUUAGCAUCAGAUUAGAAAUAACAGUACAUUUUUUACUUCUGAGAGGAGCUAGAUGGGAAUUUUCCAGCCUGUUUCUCUGCCUAGUCCCCCAUCUUGGGGAAUCCUGUGAAACUGGGGCUACCCAAGUUCCAUGGCGCUCUGGCUGGAUGGCAAAUAGAAGGGAAAAGGACUGCUUUUGUGGAAGUAACACUUGCUUUAUCUGUUGGUGAAUGCAUAUCGCUUUUUGUCUUGAUUAGAAAUAAAAGCCUUUUUCUUUCUUUCAGAAGAUGUAAACUUUUCAUGGAAGGGGGAGUUUUCUUGGCUGUAUAUUUGAGUUGUUUCAGGUUUUGCAUGAAUUUCUCUGCAGACUUCUGUUAUAUAUAUGUUGUGUUGAUUUCAGUGAACAUGUGGGAUUGAAAGCUGCAUCUGAUCCUGGUGUCAUAAUCCUCAUUGUCAGUGCUCUUGGUGUUCUAGGCUGAAAAUAUGUUAGUGUAAAGCUAAGCGAUUAGAAUGCUUACGUGCAUAUUUUUACAUGAUUUUUUUAAAUAAUGAAAAGAAUAUUAGAUUCACUCAAAAAGAUUAAAAUAUUAGAAAAACUCCUGCUAAUUAAACCAGAAAUAAUGUAGCACAGAAAAAUGUCUGCAACAUGAAGUAACUAGUCAGAAAUUUUUGUGGAAGAAACGUCAAUAUGAUUAAUGAAAUACUACAAGAGGAAUAGAAGUAGAAGAAAUGGAGAUUUAGAAAUAAAUCCAGACAACUGGCAAACACCUGGGAAGUCAAAUCUAUGCUGAAAGUAACAGGAAAAUGAUUAGCUUUAUUUUCCACUGUCAAACCAGGCUGGUUAUCUGGGAAUUUUUAGAACUGGUAUCCAACUUUAGAGUGCAAAAUUUUGUGUAUGCUCAUGUAAAGCACAUUUAGGUAGCUAAGGUCCCUAAUGGCUGACAAAGCUAUGAGGAAGCAUGUUCUCCUGACCAACAUUUUGGACGUGGCGAGGGGGUUCCCCUGCACGAGUGCCUGAUGCAACACCAAGAAGUUGCUCCCAUCUGUAACAUUGGGAAAUGGCAACUUUCCUGUGUAAAAAACGGCAACUUUCCUAUGUAAAGAACGGCUUUACAACCUUCCUGUGACUUUGAGAGCCAAGGCUGAAAAGUUGUGUGCUCUUCUUUCACAGAAGGCAGAAUGUGACUUGAUGGGAAUGUGCACAGAUGCGGGUGUGACUUCUGCGUGGUGCAUGAGGCACGGGGUUAAGGGGUUAAACAUUUGCCCUUAAAUAUUAUGGUUGACCUUUUCUUCGUAUUCAGCCAGCAUGCUGGGUGAGUGGUGGGAAUGUGAUGAGGUAGCUGUGAUGAGGUAGCUGUGGUAGGCUGAGGGGCACCAAGUCAGAAAAAGAAAAAAAAAGAAAAGAAAAAAGAUCAGAAAAAAAAAAAUAGAUAAAAAGCUUAGGAAAGGAUAAAA
ensembl:lncRNA